rnacentral:lncRNA from 1 species
CGUGUAAGGUACUGGACUUCUAAAAUUAUGAAGUUAUGGUGUACGUUGCUUUGGAAAGCUGUUUGAAUGGUUCCGGUGAAGUUUAGUGAAAUUCGGAAGCGUUCGGGCGUUUCGGUGCGCAUAGGCGUGAAAACGGAACCUGAAAGACUAUAUUGGACCGUGGGCUAAAUCCGGCAUUAGCGUGGGUAAAAAUAUGAUGAAAACAUGCUCGAAAACAUGUUUGGAGAGUCUCGGUUCGAUUUGAAAAGAAUCGGAGGUCAAACGAGCGAAAACGGACGAA